GUGCACUUCCUGUGUUCCUCGAGCUCCCUCUCAAAGUUCGCCUUCCUCCGACUGUACUCCAUGAUCUCCUUCACGUGGAGACUUCGAAAGUGGGCGGCCUCCACGGUGGCUUCGGAGUGACCCUCCCUCAACCUGCGGAGCUCGCCUUCCAUCUUCUUCAACCUUUUCGUCAAAUGAAGAACUUCCUUCUUCAGGUGCUGGAUCAU
rnacentral:lncRNA from 1 species